CCCUUAGAUGUUCUGGGCCGCACGCGCGCUACACUGACGAAUGCAACGAGCUUAUAACCUUGGCCGAAAGGUCUGGGUAAUCUCCAAAUUUCGUCGUGAUGGGGAUAGAUUAUUGCAAUUAUUAAUCUUCAACGAGGAAUGCCUAGUAAGCGCAAGUCAUCAGCUUGCGUUGAUUACGUCCCUGCCCUUUGUACACACCGCCCGUCGCACCUACCGAUUGAAUGGUUCGGUGAAGAUCUCGGACUUCGAUAUUUAUUCUUUAUUGAGUUUAUAUUGUGGGAAGUUAUCUAAACCUCAUCAUUUAGAGGAAGGUGAAGUCGUAACA
rnacentral:rRNA from 1 species